CCUACGGGUGGCAGCAGUGAGGAAUAUUGGUCAAUGGGCGCGAGCCUGAACCAGCCAAGUAGCGUGAAGGAUGACUGUCCUACGGGUUGUAAACUUCUUUUAUAAAGGAAUACAGUGAGGCACGUGUGCCUUUUUGUAUUUACGUUUUGAAUAAGGAUCGGCUAAAUCCGUGCCAGCAGCCGCGGUAAUACGGAGGAUACGAGCGUUAUCCGGAUUUAUUGGGUUUAAAGGGAGCGUAGAUGGGUUGUUAAGUCAGUUGUGAAAGUUUGCGGCUCAACCGUAAAAUUGCAAUUGAUACUGGCAGCCUUGAGUACAGUUGAGGUAGGCGGAAUUCGUGGUGUAGCGGUGAAAUGCUUAGAGAUCACGAAGAACUCCGAUUGCGAAGGCAGCUUACUAAACUGCCACUGACAUUGAUGCUCGAAAGUGUGGGUAUCAAACAGGAUUAGAUACCCUUGUAGUC
rnacentral:rRNA from 1 species